rnacentral:rRNA from 1 species
CCUACGGGGAGGCAGCAGUGGGGAAUAUUGGACAAUGGGCGAAAGCCUGAUCCAGCCAUGCCGCGUGUGUGAAGAAGGCCUUCGGGUUGUAAAGCACUUUCAGUGGGGAAGAAAGCCUUGGGGCUAAUACCCUCGAGGAAGGACAUCACCCACAGAAGAAGCACCGGCUAACUCCGUGCCAGCAGCCGCGGUAAUACGAAGGGUGCGAGCGUUAAUCGGAAUUACUGGGCGUAAAGCGCGCGUAGGCGGUCUGAUAAGCCGGUUGUGAAAGCCCCGGGCUCAACCUGGGAACGGCAUCCGGAACUGUCAGGCUAGAGUGCAGGAGAGGAAGGUAGAAUUCCCGGUGUAGCGGUGAAAUGCGUAGAGAUCGGGAGGAAUACCAGUGGCGAAGGCGGCCUUCUGGACUGACACUGACGCUGAGGUGCGAAAGCGUGGGUAGCAAACAGGAUUAGAUACCCGGGUAGUC